GAUGAACGCUGGCGGCGUGCCUAAUACAUGCAAGUCGAGCGAACAGACGAGAAGCUUGCUCCUCUGACGUUAGCGGCGGACGGGUGAGUAACACGUGGAUAACCUACCUAUAAGACUGGGAUAACUUCGGGAAACCGGAGCUAAUACCGGAUAAUAUUUUGAACCGCAUGGUUCAAUAGUGAAAGACGGUUUUGCUGUCACUUAUAGAUGGAUCCGCGCUGCAUUAGCUAGUUGGUAAGGUAACGGCUUACCAAGGCAACGAUGCGUAGCCGACCUGAGAGGGUGAUCGGCCACACUGGAACUGAGACACGGUCCAGACUCCUACGGGAGGCAGCAGUAGGGAAUCUUCCGCAAUGGGCGAAAGCUUGACGGAGCAACGCCGCGUGAGUGAUGAAGGUCUUCGGAUCGUAAAACUCUGUUAUUAGGGAAGAACAAAUGUGUAAGUAACUAUACACGUCUUGACGGUACCUAAUCAGAAAGCCACGGCUAACUACGUG
rnacentral:rRNA from 1 species